UACGGAGGGGACUAGCGUUGUUCGGAAUUACUGGGCGUAAAGCGCACGUAGGCGGAUUUGUAAGUCAGGGGUGAAAUCCCCGGGCUCAACCCGGGAACUGCGUCCGAUACUGGAAGGCUUGAAUCCGGGAGAGGGAUGCGGAAUUCCAGGUGUAGCGGUGAAAUGCGUAGAUAUCUGGAGGAACACCGGUGGCGAAGGCGGCAUCCUGGACCGGCAUUGACGCUGAGGCGCGAAAGCCAGGGGAGCAAACGGG
rnacentral:rRNA from 1 species